rnacentral:rRNA from 1 species
UACGUAGGGUCCGAGCGUUGUCCGGAAUUAUUGGGCGUAAAGGGCUCGUAGGCGGUUUGUCGCGUCGGGAGUGAAAACACCGGGCUUAACUCGGUGCUUGCUUCCGAUACGGGCAGACUAGAGGUAUGCAGGGGAGAACGGAAUUCCUGGUGUAGCGGUGAAAUGCGCAGAUAUCAGGAGGAACACCGGUGGCGAAGGCGGUUCUCUGGGCAUGUCCUGACGCUGAGGAGCGAAAGUGUGGGGAGCGAACAGG